GAAGGAAGGACAGAAGGAAGAAAGAAAUGCAUCUGGGUUUAUAUCCAAUUGGAUUACUGUCAACCACAUCCAGCUGAGAGGGGAGAAGACAGACGUAUUGAUGGUCACUGAAAUGAGAUGGAACAAAAGAAGACAACCUGAGCAGGGAAGAAAAGGUUCCCUUUUAAAAUGGUUGAGCUUUGAUGGUGCAUUAUUCUGGUCUUUCAGAACUCCCUGCAUACCCUGUAUGCCAAAUAAUCCCCCCUCCUUUUCUUUUCUAUUUUCCUCAAGGACUUUCAUUAUUAUUAUUAUUUUAAUCAGAAUUCAACUGUACUGCUUUCUUCUCAGCUGUCCUUCAUCACCAGUAAAGUGGCACAUUUUUAGACCUUUAUGACCUGCAAAAGCCUGCUGCUCUCCCCCUUUUUAUGAUCUGGAAGAUGUGAAGCACUGGAACCUAGGGGUUUUCACUUGUGCUGAAGAAAAGACCUCUUAGUUACUUCCAUUUCUCUGUUGUGUUACAUUUUCUGUAUAUACUUUGCCUUUUGGAUAUUUUUUCUGCCAUUGUACAGUCUGAGCUCCUCUAUUACAAUGAAAACAUAUUUUUUCUUCCCUACAGUGGCUCAAUGAGUCACCAGCCACACCAAAGCUUGACUAUGAGCUACCUAAGUGCAAAAGGAGAUGGGUCCAGCUUGCAACGAGAUGCCUGAGGGACUUUCAUACAGCUCAAGCCUGCAGGCUGAACAACCCCAACUGUCUCAGCCUGUCCUUGUGUGGAAGGUGCUUCAGCCCUCGGAUCAUCUCCUCGGCCUCUUCUGGGCUUGCUCUAACAUAGGACUGCAGGAUGAACAACCCCAACUCUCUCAGCCUGCCCUCAUACGGGAGGUGCUCCAGACCUCAGAUGAUCUCCGUGGCCUCCUCUGGACUCGCUCCAACAACUCCGUGUCUUUCUUGUGCUGAGGACUCCAGAACUGAAUGCAGUUGCCAUGUCAUUCCCCCCUCGUUCAGCUUAAAAACAUUCCCCCUCCUCCUAUCCCUUCGCUCCCUGAGCCUCCAACCUUAAAAGUCCAUCAGCCUCUCUGAACUGAGGCUUGGACAUGGAAACAUCACAACAUCCAGCACUGCCCAUGUUCUUUGUAUCGCCCAGGGAUACCGCACUGGUGUUUGCUGUGAUUUACAAGCACCUUCUUGCGCUCAGAGGGAAAUAUGUUGUCAGUGAGUUCUCUCUUAAUUUGCAUUCUUCCAAUCUAAUCAAACCUUUGUAAACAGCAGCUCUCUGAAAACAAUAAUCAGCAGCAAAAGACACACUGACAGGGUAAGGGAAGGUGAAUUAAGAUGCUUUUCUUUCUCCUAUGCUAAUCUUUUCCUAAUUAUGUUUUAUUAAUAUUAUGAUGCAGCCGCUUCCAUUAUUGUUUUCACUCAUAUUGUCCGUAGUUAAAAUCAAAUUGCUAAUGAAUGAGCUAUAUAUUUGGUUUAAUUAUUUAAGCCUCUGACUUUCAUAUUUUUCAUAAGCAACCACUACACUCAGACCAGGAUUGGGUACAUUCCUUCCCCCCUUCUCCCAGUUUUUGAGGUAUUCUUGUGUGAUAAUUCUAUGGGUGACAGUGACAUUUUUUAUGAUAAGUUGGAUGAUUCAUUACCAUCCAGUGACAGUUGUGUGGUCUUAUAUUUAUAAUAAGGUGCUUUUCAUUCCAGAAUGGGGGUGGGAAGCACCCACUUUUCGUAUUAAACAGUCUAAUACUGCAGCUUUUAUGCCAAAAUUGCCACAGAAUAAUGUUAUAUUCUUCCCUUUUGAUUCUCGAGGGAUGCUUUGAAAGGGCUAAUCAAAAAAUGAACUUGGAGGCUUGAGCUUGGUUGUUUGCUGUAGACGAACAAGACCUUGAAGUUGGAACAGUUGGUAAUCCACGGUGUUCCAGGUGCAACACCUAGCGUGGGUUGUUUUAUUUAUGGGAAAGUAUGGCAGGUGGGCUGAGUGAUGGCUGUCACUUUGGGAGUGCCACUGUGGUGUCCAAAAAGUGUGUAGACGUGGCAUGUUGUGACAUGGUUUUAAUAGGCGUGUUGGUAUUGUGUUGAUGGUUGGAUUAGAUGACCAUAGAGGUCUUUUCCAACCUUAACGACUCUACAACUACCUAAAAGGAGGUUGCAGAGAGGUGGAUGUUGGUCUCUUCUCCCAGGUGAUAGGUGAUAGAACAAGAGCAAACGGUGUCAAGCCGCAUCAGGGGACGUUUAGAUUGGAAAUUAGAAAAGAAUUCUUCACAGAAAGGGUUAUCUAGCACUGGAACAGACUGCCCAGGGAGGUGAUUGAGUCUCCAUCCCUGGAGGUGUUUAAUAGGUGGGUAGAUGAGGUGCUUCGGGACAUGAUUUAUUAGUGGACAGGUACAGUUGGAGUUGAUGAUCUCAAACGUCUUUGCCAACCGAAUUCUAUGAUUCUGUGGUUGAUUUUGCUUAUACGUUGUUGCCCAGGUGCAGCAACAGAGUGAAAUAAAAUGGUAAAAGAAAUAUAAAUAUAUGUCAGGCUGAAUUUAGAAGCUUUUGCUCAAGAUCUGUUUUGAUAGAAGUGCCAAAUUCUAACAGCUUAGCUGAUUUCAGGUGCCUCUUGCAAAUCAUCCUGCUGGCUUGUCCAUCUGUUGAUGCUGAUGUUUUUUAUUUUCUGAAGGGUUUUUUUGUGGAGAAAUGAGGAUACUUUUUACCACUAUGGACAGUUGGGAAGCUAUUGCCGAUGCUCGGUAACUUCUCAAAGAAAUGUCAGCCCCUGAGCAGGUUUCUUUCCCAGAAGAAAGAAAAUAAUCCUUGAGAAGGGAAAAUAUUUCUUGGCUGACAGAAACUAUUUAAAUACAUAAUUAUCACUGGGGGGAGUCAUUAAGAUGAUGCUUUUUUUUCACUCUGAUGAAUGUGUUGAAUUGAGUUGCAUCAGAAGCAUUUAUAGAUCUAGCUUAAAGACAGAUAUGCAAAUGGGGUGGCAUCCUGCAAGCUAACGUCCUCUCGCUACAGUUCUUUGAUAAUUAAAGGGAUCCAUCCUCAUCCUGCAGCUCCUAUAAAUGGGAACAAAUUCAUAUUUACCAAUGAUUGUCCUGUAUUUUCCCUGGUGUCACUGUGGACCUUGUGAUAAACACCCCUGAGUUUAUCAGGGGGUGAAAUCCAGCUUUGCGUGGAGGAUCUAAAGUCUUGUGCAUGCUUGAACACCACUCAGUGUUCCAUAAGAAACGCAAAGUCUUUGGAAAACAAUGGUUUUGGGGCUUAAGUGGGACUGGAGAGGCAGAGAGGUCUCCUGCAAAGAGCUCUGUUUUCACCCUGGUGGAGUGGGGGAGUGAAUCUUUGUUGCAGAGUGCUCCUCAGUGCUUUUUUGUGCUCUCCUUCCCACUCCACAAAUCAGGCAUUUUGGUGAAGAGUCAACGAGAUGAGCAAGCUGCUGAGAAGGGAGCCACUCGUAGAGGAAGAUUUAUUCGUGGCUGAGGAGCAAAUAUUCACAUUAAUGUAGAAAGAAAGGGACUGAUGUUAAGAAAACGCUGCAGCAGGAAAGACCAUGCUAAACCGAAGCAUGUGGAACCUGUUUCUCAUCUGGCACUGGCGUAGUCCUUAGUUUACACAAGUUGACCUGGAGUACUUUUAUGCAAACAAAUUGCUUUAUUCAUCCCUUCCAGUAUGGAAAGGGGCUCCAGGAAAGCUGGGGAGGGGCUUUUGAUCAGGGAGUGAGAGGAUAGGACAAAGCGGGAUGGUUUUAAGCUGA